rnacentral:rRNA from 1 species
AGGGUUUGAUUAUGGCUCAGGAUGAACGCUGGCGGCGUGCUUAACACAUGCAAGUCGAACGAAGCACUAUUAUUUGAUUUCUUCGGAAUGAAGAUUUUAGUGACUGAGUGGCGGACGGGUGAGUAACGCGUGGGUAACCUGCCUCAUACAGGGGGAUAACAGUUAGAAAUGACUGCUAAUACCGCAUAAGACCACAGUACCGCAUGGUACAGGGGUAAAAACUCCGGUGGUAUGAGAUGGACCCGCGUCUGAUUAGGUAGUUGGUGGGGUAACGGCCUACCAAGCCGACGAUCAGUAGCCGACCUGAGAGGGUGACCGGCCACAUUGGGACUGAGACACGGCCCAA